UACGUAGGGUGCGAGCGUUAAUCGGAAUUACUGGGCGUAAAGCGUGCGCAGGCGGCUUUGUAAGCCUGGUGUGAAAUCCCCGGGCUUAACCUGGGAAUGGCAUUUGGGACUGCAAGGCUCGAGUGCGGCAGAGGAGACUGGAAUUCCUGGUGUAGCAGUGAAAUGCGUAGAUAUCAGGAGGAACACCGAUGGCGAAGGCAGGUCUCUGGGCUGACACUGACGCUCAUGCACGAAAGCGUGGGGAGCAAACAGG
rnacentral:rRNA from 1 species